CCAGUUCCUCAGGAGCCUCCUCCAGAGGGCUGGUGGACAGUGCUGGUGGGAGGCUGACGGCACCGCUGUACCGCUGGGACAGGCCGCUGGACCGCAGCACGCUGGGGGUCUCAUAGUUGGGCGGCGACUGGCUGGUGAUGGAGGAUGGGAGAGCAACACUCAGAUGCACAGUGCGGCGCCACCUGCAGCGCCUGGCCACAGCCCGGCCACCACAGAGGUGACGCCCCAUGACACACCACACGGAUCACCACACCACACUACCCGCCACCUCGACACAGGAACUACACUGGAGGGCUGCUGCUUCAUCUAUGGCCAGGACCCAACACAGCAAAUUGUGAUUAUAAUUACAUCCAUGAACAGAGUCAGGAAAGGAUGAGAAGCAACUAGUAGUGAGGUGUGGUUGGUCAACACUCCUGGCUGUUGAGUUGAGGGAAAAGUAAAGGGGUAGUGGGAAACAGAAUCUGUACAAGGAUGAAAGAGUACAAGCAACAAAACUAUUAUAGCUGUAGUAGUGAAAGUAGUAGUAGUGGUAAAAGUGGUUGUAAUAGUAGUAGUAGUAGUAAGGCUAUUGCUGCAUGAAAAGCACAACAUCGUACCAAAGUAGCUGAGAACUGAGGCACAAAAUCAGGAGAUAAAACAGGAGCCGACUGAGGAGUACUCAGCUGCAAAAGAAACGAGUGAAAUAGUACAAAUUCCCAGCGACCACCAGCCCAGCUGCCACUUGCUGUCAGUGAUGCACUAGUCAGGCACAGCAAAGCCUCAUCUUGCUGACCUCUUAAAGAUGUUUUUAAGUUAUGGGAGAUUUGUAUUGUGUGGUUAUAAUAGAUAAAUACAUAAAUAAAGCUGAUUUUUAUUUUCUAUGAGGUUCAGAAUGUAUUGUAGUUUACAAGAUGCAUAACAAUGAGUGAAGCUUUGCUGUGCUGAGAAAAGUAACCUUCCACCAUCCUAACUGAUAUUAAGAGAGGUAAAUUUUAACUUAGUGAUGUGAUACAGUGGCUGCAAAUAACCUAAAACAAAGAAAAGUUAAAUCUACUUAAGAGGUGAAAAGCCUUGAAUCCCCGGUGUGGUAAGGAAUGAGAGGGGGCAACAUGGCUAACAGCAACAUAACUUUAAUAGAUGAUGCAGUGGGUGAUGUUUUCUAUUCAUGGAAUUAUUAAAAUUUUGUGAGUAAGGUGAAGAGCUCAGGACUUUUUGAGUUAAUCCAAAAGCAUUAUACACAAAAAAAGUGUACUCAAUCAUCAGACCAAAACAAGCGACUACCUUCCAGCAUUCCAUAUUGAAGAGAUGUUACUGAGCAAAGAAAAAUAAAAAGGGACAUUUUGCUAUUAUAAAAUUAUUCUUUGUGCAUUAAUUCAUUCCCUUGAAAACUAAGGGGAGAGCACAACAACAGAUUUGCACCAACACCCAUGACUUGUGCUGUUAGAGGUAGGGGAGGAAGGGAGAGGAAGAUAGGAGGGAAGAGUGGGAGAAAUGGGAGAUGGCUGUUGCUGUGAAGCUUCAUGUGUCAUUCAAUUCUAUCUCAUAAGAACUUGUAAGAACUAAUUUAUUUCACUUGUUAUCCUGAACUUAAUGCUGCUGCUGAAAGUAAUAAAAACUAAAAUAAACCUGAAUGGGGGAAAAAAAAAAAUUGCUCCAAAUCUUUACUGUAAUUCAUGAAAAAAAUACUGAAAUUCAUGAGAAAAAAAAAAAGUUAGUUCAAUA